CCUACGGGUGGCAGCAGUGGGGAAUAUUGCACAAUGGGGGAAACCCUGAUGCAGCGACGCCGCGUGAAGGAAGAAGUCUUUCGGUAUGUAAACUUCUAUCAGCAGGGAAGAAAAUGACGGUCCCUGACUCAGAAGCCCCGGCUAACUACGUGCCAGCAGCCGCGGUAAUACGUAGGGGGCAAGCGUUAUCCGGAUUUACUGGGUUGAAAGGGAGCGUAGGCGGUUUAGCAAGUCCGAAGUGAAAGACCGGGGCUCAACUCCGGGACUGCUUUUGAAACUGUUGAACUUGAUUGCAGGAGAGGUAAGUGGAAUUCCUAGUGUAGCGGUGAAAUGCGUAGAUAUUAGGAGGAACACCAGUGGCGAAGGCGGCUUACUGGACUGUAAAUGACGCUGAGGCUCGAAAGCGUGGGGAGCAAACAGGAUUAGAUACCCCUGUAGUC
rnacentral:rRNA from 1 species